CGCUGCGGAGCGAACAGAGGGAGCUUCAAAGAGGCAGCAGCCUGUCCGCCCAGAGAGGAGAGCAGCAGUCCGGCUGUGAUGCUAUCGCGGCUGUGCGGGCUGAGCAGCAGUCUGAUGGGAUAAAACCUUCCGCUCUCAUUUAACCUCACUCUGUGUCCCUGUGCACGCGCAUCUCUCUCUCUCUCUCUCUCUCUCUCUCUCUCUCUCUGUGUGUGUGUGUGUGUUUCGCGAGCCCCGAGAAAUGCUCUUGUAGCGCGAGCACGAAUGAUAAAUUUCUAGCUUCUCAGAAAUUUUCGAACUUGGAGCAAGUUUUCUUCUUUUUUUCUGUUUUUUAAAAACUUGAAUUGCAUUCGAGUCGUUCUUUUGGAGCACCCAAAAGCCGCAGGACGAGAUGGAGAGCGAAAAGUACUUGCCGGAGCUUAUGGCAGAGAAGGACACGCUGGAUCCGUCUUUUCAGCACUCCCUGCGGCUACUGGAUCAAGAGAUUGAAAAAAUUCAGAAAGAUGAGGGGAAGGAAGAGGAGAAGUUCAUCGACGUCGUCAUCAACAAGAACAUGAAACUGGGCCAGAAAGUUUUAAUACCAGUCAAGCAGUUUCCUAAAUUCAACUUUGUCGGCAAACUCCUCGGGCCACGCGGGAACUCGUUAAAGAGACUACAGGAGGACACUCUCACAAAGAUGUCAAUUCUUGGAAAAGGAUCCAUGAGAGACAAAGAAAAGGAAGAAGAGCUACGGCAGAGCGGCGAGGCCAAAUAUCACCACCUGAACGAAGACCUGCACGUCCUCAUCGAGGUGUUCGCCCCACCGGCUGAGGCCUAUGCCAGGAUGGGUCACGCUCUGGAGGAGAUCAAAAAGUUUCUCAUACCAGAUUACAAUGAUGAGAUCAGACAGGCCCAGCUGCAGGAGCUCACAUACCUGAACGGUGGAUCGGAGGAUGCCAAGGUGCCAUCGGUGAGGGGAAAGUCAGCCGCCCGUGGAAGAGGGACACCUGUUCCAGGGCCUCCCAGGAGUCGCGGUGGAGUUCCUCCCCUGCAUGCAGCAGUGCCUCGAGGAGCAGCACCCAGAGGGGCCCCACCCAGCCGGGCUCCAUCCUCCAGAGGGAGGGGGGUGCAGAGAGCCCGAGGUGCUCCCCCAGCUGCAGGUUACAGGCCGGCUCCUCCCAUAGUCCAGGACACAUACGGAGAAUAUGAAUAUGACGACGGCUACGGAACAGCUUAUGACGACCAAGGAUAUGAAUCAUAUGACAACAACUACACUAACCAAGGACAAAACUCAGAUGACUACUAUGAAUACGGACACAGUGGGGAAUCAUAUGAUUCGUAUGGUCAGGAAGAGUGGGCAAACAAUCGCGGCAAGGCUCCGUCAGCACGAACAGCCAAGGGAGUGUACAGAGAUCAGCCAUACUCCAGAUAUUGAACUGUUUAUACAACCUGCACCUGAGUCCUCAUGGCUGUUUCAACCCAAGUCGAAGUCCUGGCUACACAGCUCCGUCCAUCCAAUCAUCUCACUGGUGCUAAAGACUUGAUGACCCACGCAAGCGUCCCUCCAAACAUUCGAGCCCACACAAUGUCAAACCAAAUCCCGAUGAAAAAAUUCCAUCCAGCUUCAAGGAUCUGCCCUCGACCAAACAGAGGGCUUUCAAAUUUCCACAGCCUGGACUGAGGUGGAGUGACCUGUUGAGAUGCAGAAAACGGGGCCAAAGAUAAUGCAUGUAUCACACAUAAUCAUUCUCUGGAAAAAAAAAAAAAAAAAAGGAGGGAGGUGGAGGAAAAUCGCGAGGUAAAUGGAGUUCCUCAUCCUCUGGGACGAUCUGUCAGAGAAGAUUUCCUUCAGAGCUUCACAUACAUUUUACAUACCGACUGUGAAGCUGACCUGCGUCUUUCUUGAUUCAGACUGUUGUUAGAGGAGAUGUGUCUACCUCUUACAUUAGACAUUACCUGUCAUCUCCUUGGAAGGAUGAGUAAAUAAAUAAUGUGUUAUGCUAAGGGAAGGGCAUCAUAAUUGCAACAAAGGCAGUGCUAUUGUCAUACUUUUGUGCUCAUCAACCUAUAUCAUCUACGCUCCGAUGAAUAAAUAAUUCACAAAGUGCCUUAUUGUCGCAUUGUUAUGACAGUUUUAGAUGUUUAGUUCCACUGCUGUACUUAAAAUAUGGGGCAGUACACUAAGAAAGGUAGUUUUUUUCCCCUCUUCUGUGUUGUUCUUUCCCUACACACCAUUACUGCGAUGCUGGAAAACACCCCCCAGCUUCACACAAAAGUACAGUCUAGCCCAGAUGUAUUGCUUAAUCAGAAUCGACUUCAGUGGAUAUUACAAUUCCAAAAUAGCUUUCUAUCGGAUAGAGAGCUUCAUUCUGUCUUGUGCAUAAGUCCAGAUAGGCUGAUCCGUAUUCUGCACAGUUGUAUGUCCUCAGUGGCAGACAAUAGUUUUCCAUUAGAGGAAGUGAUUCUCUCUGGAGCUCCGGGCCAAGCCUCAGACAAUAAGACGGCGACCUAAAGCUCACAUCUCCAGCUCCCAGAGUCAACUCUCAUCACCUCGGGGGCUGAUUCCCACUCUAAAGUGGCUUAAAGUGACAGGCUUAUCUGAAGUAAGCUUGUCCAAGUUAAUAAAGUAAGAGCAGCUUAUUUGAUUAAGAAUGCAUACAAAGGAGGAUGUAGUGAUCUGUCACUGGGAGACAAGUCAAUUUCGAUGCUAGAAUACAGAUCUACGGGUUCCAAACAGUGGAGACAGAAACAAUGGAAGAUCUACAGCAAAACUAGGAGUAGCUCAACCAGCUUCUUACUAUGAGUGGUGCAGUCCUUUAUAAAUCACUAUGUCCUGCUAAAAUUAGAACACUUCUGAUGGUUUCAAAUAAGGAAUUUCAGUGUUUGUCUAUUUGCUUUAAGUGGGCAGGGCUUCUAGUCAGAGUAGCAACAUUUUUUUUUUGGCCUUUUUUGAUAGGUACAGUGGAGACAGACAGGAAAGGAAGGAGAAGAGUGGGGGGAAGACAUGCAGCAGAGGGCCGUACGCAGGAAUCAAACCUGGGCCGCUGUGUUGGGGACCAGGACCUGUACAUGGGUCGCCCUCAACCCACUGAGCUAUCCAGGCACCCCGGACUAGCAGCAUCUGAGUGAAAAUUUGACCUCUUGAGGGGGUUGUUUGAAUUUCUAGAAUUGUCAGUCAAAUCUGAUCAAACCACACCCACCCAGUAGCCAGUUGUAUGCAGCUAGCAAGCAGUUAGUGUAGCUUUACAUAAAAAUGGAAACAGCUAACCAGGGUCUCUUCACCAGUAAUAAAAUCUGCCUACCAGCACCUCUAAAGCUCAUUAACUCAACUCAUGUUGUCUGUCUAAUGCAUACCAAUAAGAAAAAACAUUGCCAAUCUAGAUGCCACUAUGUGUGUCUUUUAUAAUGUGUUUCCAGGGUCCUUGGGCAUACUCGAAUGGAAUAAGUUUUUGUUUGCAGGGAAAUGAGAAAGACCAGGUAAAACUGUGCUGCUUCCAGCUUAUUAAUUUAUUGUCUCCACAACUAAAUAGACAAAUUGUAGUAUUCUAUCCAUAUUGGUUGCAAAGUUCCUCUAUGUUGCUGAUCAAACUCCUAAAAAAACAUCUGUGUGCAUACAUGUUUGCUGCUUUUGGUUUUGUGUUGUUGUUUUUUUUUUUUAUAUUAAUCCCUUCCAGCCUUAAAAUAACCAAGAUGUAACUCCACAUUGUGACGUCCUUUAGAAUGUACACAUCCAUAAAGUCCCCGCCUCCUCUACACACACAACUCAAAACUUGUUACAGCUCAAGCACACCAGCUCAUCUGUAAUUUUACUCAAACACAACUAUGCAAGUUGUAGUAGUGGAGUAAUGCAGCCAUACAUGUUCAAACCAGAAUCUGAUAUUAGUCAGAAAGCCUCCUUGUACAAGUAGACAGGAUCGGUUCUUUAUGUUGGUGCUGUCAUCUUUACACUGCUGUUUCAAAGUAGAGAUACUCAGGCACGCCGCUGACUGCUUAUUUCAUUCAUGAUUUUUCUUUUAGUAGAUAGAAAACAUCACCUUGACCUGAUCACAAACUAAAACUAGAAAAGCACUCAGACAGCGGCGUACUCCGCCAAGGCUGUUCAUUCCCCCAUAUGGCAUUGUCAGAAAUGCAGCAUUUUUUGUAGAAAUGCAGCAUUUGUUUAUUAGUUAUUUAUGAUCAAAAAUUAUGGAAACAUGGGAUGUGGCCAUUUAAUAUAGAUGUACCCACAAACUAAAUGACCUUGCGCUGAGCACAGGCGUGUGUUAUGCAUGUGUACAUUAUAUACGGAUACCAAAUCACGUGACCUAAAUGUCUACACCCUUACAAUUUAAUCAAUUGUUCCUUGUAUCAUUUCCAAUGGAUUAGUCCUGAUAAGUCUGCAGUGGUCAAUUGCAAUCAUGUGAUCGUCACAGGCAGUUGACGUAGCGUUCACUUGUUGUCAUAGUUAUAGUGACGCCAUGUCACUAUCUCAGUGAUACAGACAUUUUUAACAAAUCCAUGGAUCCAGACUAUAAGCCCCGUCACUGCCAAAAUCUAAUCACUUGGUACUUGUGUCACUUCUGACCUUCCCAGAAAAUUUCAUCCAAAUCCCUUAGUCCGUUAUAGAGUAAUGUUGCUAACAGACAGACAGACAAACGUACACUGAUUGUCACUUAACUCUGCUGCAUUCCCUGGCAGAGUAAUAAAUUUCAUUUUCACAGAAGGGGGUCCUUAAUUACAUUCCCUUAAAAGCAAAUACAGGAAUAGACUAUGUUGGGAAGAUCUAACCAGUAGCAUGCCUCAGUUUUACUGCCCUACAUAUGUAGUGGUCACUUUAUUCUGGCUGCUCUGGAAAAAGAAAAAAAAAAAACAAAAACAAAACCUGAGGCUUUUUGAUUCUGUGAAGAGUGCUUUUCCACUAGUAUUCCUCUUAAUCAUGUCGGGGAUCUAAAGCGGCCGCCUCCUGCCGUUUCUUCUGUAAUUAACUGGAGGGCUCUUAAUCUUAGCGAGAUUAAAACGCUCUGAUCAAUGUUGAAGUGUCCCUGUGUCUCCUUUGGAAGCGAGUGCUAAUGCGACCACGGGUCAGUGUGUGUCGCCUGCUAAGUGGAUGCUCAGAUUGAGAAGGAUCGAUCAUCGCAGGCCUUUCAGGGCUGAAAAACAGCCAAGACGCAGAGGAUGGAGAUCUUUUCAAUCUAAAAUAUACUCAAAGAAAAUGUCAUUAUGUGGGAAAUAUAAUUUCAUUUUUGUAAUUAGCAUUUUAUUCAAAGCUGAGAACAAGAUGUGGAAAAAAACAAUUAAAGGAAAUUAAAGCAAGGUUAUCAGAAUGGAGAGGAAAAUUUCUGAUUAAAAGUAAAUCACAGGUAGACAAAGGCGAUGAAAAAAGAAAAGAAAGAAACAUUAACAGUGAAGGAAACAUGCAAAGUGUUUGUAAGGAAAAGCACAGACUGGAAACAUUCUAUACAAAUGUAUGCAAAGUCAAUAUAUGCUUGUAAUUGUGCAUAUUGUACAUUAUGUAUUAUUUUAUUGUGCUGUCGUGCAUUGAAAGCAUUCUGAGGUCCAUGUUGAGGUUGUAGAGAUGCUCACUGGUAAUAAAGUUCUCCUCUUGUUGAUAAAAAGCA